AUGGACGGAUGGAUGGCACUGGGUUUUACUGCCCUGAGGUGGAAGUUUCCACUGGCCUUUUGGGAGCAGCGGCGAGUGAGGCUGGAUUCCAUUGGCCAGCGAAAGAUCUCGCUGCUAAUUGGACGACAGGUACGUGCAGCAUUGGCACCAUCUGCGGCAGCAGCUUCUUCUUCUUCUCCGUCUGUGCAGAGAGGUCCGGGCCACCUCGAUUUUGCCCUUUGCAUGGGGAGAAGAAGCGUGCUGAAAGGCUGGUUUGGUUUGACAUUUCUCAUUAUUGAGGUCGCUGUCCCUCCCUCGCUCACUCACUCGCUCUUGGCGAGGAGACACAUGCUGCUGGGGAGAUCGAAGGUGAGAUAUUCUUGGCCAGCCGUGUGGUAA
rnacentral:rRNA from 1 species